CAGUAGCCACGGGAACACGGAGGGGGCUAGCGUUGUUCGGAAUUACUGGGCGUAAAGCGCACGUAGGCGGCUUUGUAAGUUAGAGGUGAAAGCCCGGAGCUCAACUCCGGAAUUGCCUUUAAGACUGCAGAGCUAGCAGGUGAGAGAGGUAAGUGGAAUUCCGAGUGUAGAGGUGAAAUUCGUAGAUAUUCGGAAGAGCACCAGUGGCGAAGGCGGCUUACUGGCUCAUACUGGACGCUGAGGUGCGAAAGCGUGGGGAGCAAACAGGAUUAGAUACCCCCGUAGUCCCUGUCUCUUAUAC
rnacentral:rRNA from 1 species